CGACCGGCGCACGGGUGAGUAACGCGUAUGCAACUUACCUAUCAGAGGGGGAUAACCCGGCGGAAGUCGGACUAAUACCGCAUAAAGCAGGGAUCCCGCAUGGGAAUAUUUGCUAAAGAUUCAUCGCUGAUAGAUAGGCAUGCGUUCCAUUAGGCAGUUGGCGGGGUAACGGCCCACCAAACCGACGAUGGAUAGGGGUUCUGAGAGGAAGGUCCCCCACAUUGGUACUGAGACACGGACCAA
rnacentral:rRNA from 1 species